rnacentral:rRNA from 1 species
ACCGUAUCAAACUCAGAAUACCGACAAGUAUGAACCAAGCAGUGAGACAGCGGAUGCUAAGGUCCGUUGUCGAGAGGGAAAGAGCCCAGACCAUCAGCUAAGGUCCCAAAAUCGUCGCUAAGUGGUGAAGGUUGUGGAAUUACUUUGACAUCCAGGAGGUUGGCUUAGAAGCAGCCAUCCUUUAAAGAAAGCGUAAUAGCUCACUGGACUAGUGAUUCUGCGCCGAAAAUACAACGGGGCUAAAGUGACGUACCGAAGCUGUGGACUUUCGAGUGGUAGGAGAGCAUUGAGUUUGCCGAUGAAGGCGUACCGUAAGGAGCGUUGGAGGUCCCUCAAGAGCUGAUGCUGAAAUGAGUAGCGAUAAGAAAUGUGAGAAUCAUUUCCGCCGUAAAUCUAAGGGUUCCUGGGCCAGGUGACUCCGCCCAGGGUUAGUCGGAUACUAAGAUGAGGCCGAAAGGCGUAAUCGAUGUCCAACAGGUUAAUAUUCCUGUACUUAGUAAAAAUCGUUUGACUAGAUGGAAUGACGGAGAAAGGUAGUGAAUCCACCUGUUGGUUGGUGGUUUAAGUGUGUAGGGGGUCAGAUAGGCAAAUCCGUCUGGCAUAACUCCGAGGCACGAAUACGAGCGCAAGCGAAGUUCAUGAUCCUAAGCUUCCCAGAAAAGUUUCGCUAGGAGAUUUUUAUUAAUCCGUACCAUAAACCGACACAGGUAGAUGAGGAGAGAAUCCUCAGGCGCUUGGGAGAACUCUAGUUAAGGAACUCUGCAAAUUGGUGCCGUAACUUCGGGAUAAGGCACGCCUUUGAUGGUGACAUCACUUGCUGAUGUAGCUAUUGAGGGUCGCAGUGAAAAGGGGGUAGCGACUGUUUAUCAAAAACACAGGUCUAUGCAGACACGCAAGUGGAAGUAUAUGGGCUGACGCCUGCCCGGUGCUGGAAGGUUAAAAGGAUUGGUUAGGGUUAAACCGAAGCCGAGAAUUGAAGCCCCAGUAAACGGCGGCCGUAACUAUAACGGUCCUAAGGUAGCGAAAUUCCUAGUCGGGUAAGUUCCGACCUGCACGAAUGGCGUAACGACUUCCCCACUGUCUCAACUGGAGACCCAGCGAAAUUGCAUUACGAGUAAA